UCAAGUAUGGCUUUUGGGUACUUUAUACACCACUGGUUGUCACCUAUCCCUAUGUGGAUCUCACCAUGUUGGAACAACCAUGCAUCCCCCGUCCGUCCCCUCAACCAAAUGGGAGGAGUGUAAUAUCUCUGCUCUGCAAUGUUCCGGUUUCCGCUAAGGAGACACCCCAGUUCGCUAAGGGAGCAGCUAGUGUGCUGUGGUAAGGGGGAGGUUUGGGGAGGCUAAAGGCUGGAUUAAGCAUAGUUAGCAGCCGAGAUGGUGAAUAUAACUAGUAUAGCGACGUUGCUCAAGUGACUGCGUGUGGUCAGGGCGAUAUUAAAACGAUUUUCUCAAGAAAGAUAACAACCUUUUUCAGCAUGGACUCCAUGCACAUAACACACGUCUGAAGUGCACUUGAAUUGUGUGUAUACUCCAAACAAAACUGACCGUGAGUAUAAACUACUUUAUUAUACAGCUCUUCAGAGUGUUCCAAAAAGUUCCGUUGAUUUGAAUGGGCCACCCCAACGUUCGCAGGUCUUGAUAUUCAUAGUUUUCACGGGACGUCAGAAUGCCAGUUGGUGAGCAAGAAAAACAUCCCGCAGCUGUCUAUCACUGGAAUUUUUACAGGAACCGACCACCUUUCAUUCAAGAUCAUUUAAUAUCUCCGCUUUAACAGUGUCUGACUUAGGUAGUAAAAUGCCAGACAGUUGUUGCUCGGUUAGCUGUUCAAUUCGGCGAGGAGACAAGCCCGGAUUGUGUUUUUAUCGCAUUUAAAACCCACCCACGUUGCUGCCAGCCAGAUGAUGUACCGCUUGUUUUCCGCCUUGGGUGUUCUAUUCGGAAUGGCCUCAGCGGGUAAGGAACCAGUGGCUGUCCCUAGUCUCCUGAUUUUGUCACAAAAGACACCACAAAUUGGAUAACCAAUCAAGAACUAUUUAUAACUAUAAUGGAACAAAAAGAUGGAGAAAACGGGAUAGUUGGUGAAUUCAUUAGUGAUUACAUAAGAGCUGUUAUAGAGAUGUACCAUGAUACUUUACUUGGCAUAAUAAAUAGUCUUACCACAAUAUGUAUUUUUGUUGCUUUUAUGGUAUGUAAUCUAAGGUCAUGCAUGACAGUUACACCUGUCUCCCUU